UACGAAGGGGGCUAGCGUUGCUCGGAAUCACUGGGCGUAAAGCGCACGUAGGCGGAUUGUUAAGUCAGGGGUGAAAUCCUGGAGCUCAACUCCAGAACUGCCUUUGAUACUGGCGAUCUUGAGUUCGGGAGAGGUGAGUGGAACUGCGAGUGUAGAGGUGAAGUUCGUAGAUAUUCGCAAGAACACCAGUGGCGAAGGCGGCUCACUGGACCGGUAUUGACGCUGAGGUGCGAAAGCGUGGGGAGCAAACAGG
rnacentral:rRNA from 1 species